rnacentral:sRNA from 1 species
UCCGGCUAAAAUACGAGACUGGCUGCA